AUGAGCCAUGAAGCUGCCCGGCAGCAGCGCCCUGCGGCAGCCCCGCUCCGCCGCCUGCCCGCCCCGGCUCGGGCUGCUGCUGCUCCUGCUCCUGCUCCUCCUCGCCGCCUCGCCCCGUGGGGCCGCCGACCUGCAUUGGAAUGAAACUGUAGGAGGUACAGAGGGAGUACUGUUGGAUGAAGAGAAUACAUUUCAACAAAAUAACAGCAAUAGCAGUAAAAAUGACAGCCACAGCAAUGCAAUCCAGAAAGAAAUCACACUGCCUUCAAGACUGGUCUAUUAUAUUAACAGAGACUCUGAAAGCCCUUAUCAUAUCUUGGACACAAGGGCACGACACCAGCAAAAACACAACAAGGUUGUGCAUCUGGCCCAGGCAAGUUUCCAGAUUGAGGCCUUUGGUUCCAAAUUCAUCCUUGACCUCGCAUUGAAUAAUGAUUUGUUAUCUUCCAAUUAUGUGGAGAUUCAUUAUGAAGAUGGAAAACAAAAACUUUCUAAGGGCGGAGAGCACUGUUAUUAUCAUGGGAACAUUAGAGGUAUCAAGAACUCCAAAGUUGCCCUUUCAACAUGCAAUGGCCUCCAUGGCAUAUUUGAAGAUAGUACUUAUGUGUACUUGAUAGAACCAAAGGAUCUAACCCAUAGUUCAAAAAGCACAGGUAGGCCACACAUCAUUCAGAGAACUGUAGGAGCACAAACCCCUAAGCAACUAAAGGACCUUGAGGCUGACUCUAGUUCCGAAUGGCCCUUCUUACCUGAAUUACAGUGGUUGAGGAGAAGGAGAAGAAAGAGGGCUGUAAGUGCAUCUCGUGGUGUUUUGGAUGAGAUGAAAUAUUUGGAGCUCAUGAUUGUAAAUGACCAUAAAAUGUUCAAAAAACAUCGUUCUUCCCAUGCGUACACAAACAACUUUGCAAAGUCUGUGGUUAACCUUGUAGAUGCCAUAUACAAGGAACAGCUGAACACCAGAGUGGUUUUGGUUGCGGUGGAAACCUGGACAGACCGGGAUCGUAUUAACAUUUCCCCUGACCCUAUGCAGAUGCUCCAUGACUUCUCGCGAUAUCGACAGUACUACAUCAAACAGCAUGCGGAUGCUGUACACCUGCUCUCGAAUGUGACAUUUCACUACAAACGAAGUAGCUUGAGUUACUUUGGAGGGGUUUGUUCUGUGACCAGAGGAGUUGGAGUAAAUGAGUAUGGCCUUCCAUGGGCCAUGGCACAGGAGUUAGCACAAAGUCUGGCUCAGAACCUUGGAAUACAGUGGGAACCAGCAACCAGAAAACCAAAAUGUGACUGCGUAGAAUUCUGGGGUGGUUGCAUCAUGGAGGAAACAGGGGUCUUCCAUUCCAGAAAAUUUUCUAAGUGCAGCAUUGCAGAAUACAAAGAAUUUUUACUUCGAGGUGGUGGUGCCUGUCUCUUCAAUAGGCCAACAAAGUUGUUUGAAACUACUGAGUGUGGAAAUGGUUAUGUAGAAGCAGGAGAAGAGUGUGAUUGUGGUUUCCGAAAUGAAUGCUAUGGAGACUGCUGUAAAAAGUGCUCUCUUUCUAAUGGAGCUCAUUGUAGUGAUGGACCUUGCUGUAAUACAUCCUGCCUUUUUUUCCCGCGAGGCUAUGACUGUCGAUAUGCAGUGAAUGAAUGUGAUAUUGCAGAGUACUGUACUGGAGAUUCUGGACAGUGCCCUCCAAACCUUCAUAAGCAAGAUGGAUCAGCUUGUGAUUCUAAUCAGGGACGUUGCUAUAAUGGAGAAUGCAAGACAAGAGAUAAUCAGUGCAAAUAUAUCUGGGGAUCUAAAUCUUCAGGAUCUGACAAAUUCUGUUAUGAGAAGCUUAAUACAGAAGGUACAGAAAAAGGGAACUGUGGCAAGGAUGGAAACCGAUGGGUUCAGUGCAGCAAACAUGAUGUGUUCUGUGGCUUUCUGCUUUGCACUAAUCUUACUCAAGUUCCACGAAUUGGUCAGCUUCAGGGAGAAAUUACUCCAACUUCUUUCUACCACCAGGGACGAAUAGUGGACUGCAGGGGUGGUCAUGUGCUGUUAGACGAUGAUACAGAUUUAGGGUAUGUGGAGGAUGGAGCUCCAUGUGGCCCUCACAUGAUGUGUUUAGACAGGAAGUGCCUACCAAUUCAGUCCUUGAACAUAAGCAGCUGUCCAAUGGGAUCUAAUGGAAAGGUCUGUUCAGGUCAUGGGGUGUGCAGUAAUGAAGCCACUUGCAUUUGUCAUUUCACCUGGGCAGGGACAGACUGCAGUAUUGAUGAUCCUAUCCGGGAUAAUGGCAGCAAGAAGGAUGAUGGACCCAAGGAGUGUGUUCCAAAUUAGUGACCUGGAGGGCAGGAGUGACAGAAGAUUUAUGCUUUUGACAUUGACCAUCAGAGAUGUGCUGUGUCGAAGAGGCUGACUAAGGUUUCUGCAGGAUGUUGCCAGUUGAUUGGCAGCUCUACAUUAGAAAUGUCAAAAAGAGAAGGUAUGAUCCGAGUCAGCAAGGCCCUAUCUGAAAAACUUAAAUUGGAAUAGCUUCUCCUUGCACUACUGGAUUCUGGAUUCAAUGUCUUUGCUGUAGCUGCGCAGAAAAUAAGUCAAUAAAGAAGAACAUUUGGAGUGGCACUGACUGCUACGGACCUAAAGUGAGGGUGUUGGGGAAGGGAUGAAGGAAAACUGUCCUUUUUGGAGAUAAGUUCAGAUACUCCCUCCUUUCACCUCUCUUUCUCUCUCUCUCUCUCUCUCCUUUUUAAAAUGAAGACUGCAACAACAGAGAAGGGAAAACUGUUUCAAACUUGUUUUUUGUUCUUGUUUUCUUAGACAAAUAAAGGAAGAAAGGGACAAAUAAACCAAGUGCAAUAAGAGAACUGUUUAAAAAUAGCAAACUGUCAGAAGAUUAUUUUUCCUAGUCUGCUGGAAAAAUAUUAUAACUUGAGUUGGCAUGACUUUUUUCAUAUUAAUGACAAACUCCAGUGGCAUGAUGAGCUAAUUUUUGAAAGGAUAAACUGCAUGGCAUAUAUACACAACAAGCAAGCUAGCAAGCCAACCCCCAAGCAAAAUCUGCAACCAAAUAUAUACAGAGAGGAAAGCAACAAAUACAGAACACAGAGAAGCUGAUACAAGCUCUUAAGAAAUCUUUCACCACUGCAAUGCAUUCUGUCUAUUUGGAGUGAAUAGCUCCCUACUCUACAGAAUCAUUGUUUUCUAUCCUGGAUAAAAAUUCCUUUAGGUAUGGGAGCUAUUGUUUCUCUGAACAGUAAGGAUAACGUGUAUAGUUCUUCUAGAAAGAAAAGAAAAUGUAAAUAUGGAAAUAGAUUUUGAGAUAUCAUUUUCACAGAGAUAUAUUGAAGCAUUUCCUUAUAGAAGGUUCUAUUCUCUAUGUAAAUCUAAUUUUGGUGGUUUAAUUUUGCUCCCCUAAAUUUUAAUUUUUCUAGCAUGUUGUAUAGCGGGUGUUCUGGGCUUGCUCAAAAAAGGCAGAUCUAGCAUGCAGAUGCAGGGAGUUCAGGCACCAAAACAGGUGUGCUCUAAGUUUGUAUGCUUGAAACCAAAAAAAAAAAAGAAAAAAAUUUUUAAAAUGUAAAAGGUGUAAAUGCAUAUGUAUGUAAUGAGUUUAAGUCUCUCAAAUUACUUUUUGGGGGCUGUCAUGCAGAUUUUCUGUAUAUAAUGUAAGAAAGUUGACACGCUCUCAAAUUAAUCACAAAAGUGCCAAGCUCAUCUUUUAAUUUUAUCUACUAUUUUCCUCUGUCUAGCUCUCUCAUGUGAAAGGAAAACAAGCUUAAGUAAGCCUUAAAAUAUUCACAAAAUGCUGAAAGCUUGAGACAGGCUGAAGCUCUCAUUUUUCUCCAGAUUCUUUUUUUUCCUUCUGGCAGGCCUACAAAAAUGAUCCAGUCAUCCAAGUUACUCUGGGUUCCCCUCUUUACACUGUCAAAGUAUAAUCUGAAGAAGUUCUUUCACUAAUAGCUUUGCUCAGUUUUUAUUUCAGGGUUAACAUAUUAUUAUUUCUACAGUUCCACAUAGUCUAAUCCAGUUCACUGAAGUCAAUACAAGUAUAUCCAUUAAAAUUGUCAAUUGUUUAGCCCUAAUUGAGGUAGGCAAGGCAAAGCUGUAGAGCCCAAAUUUAACCCUCAUUUAUGCUAAUAUACAUUCAUGCAAUUCAGGUGAACUUAUUAAUUUAUACCAAUACAAGUAGUUAUCAGAGUUUAAGCUAAUUUUAUAAUGGUGUUUGUUUUUUCUUAAAUCAAAAGUAGAGAGGAAAUUUAUCUUAAACAUUAAUAGGUUAAAAAUGCUAUAAUCAGUGUUCAUUUUUCUUGUUCAAAUGUCAGAUCAAUCUCUAGAUUUAGCUUUGAGAUAUACAUUUUAAAAAAAACUUGCCAAAAAGUCAGUACUGCAUUAACUACACAAUUCUCAUUACGUUUUCUAUAAAAUGUUUUUUGCUUCAAGUUUGUUUCAGAUUAGACAUUCUCAGAAGUUUUUUUCCUCUAUGAGAACCAUAGACUGUUUGACUAACAAAAGACAGUUAUUUAUCAAAUGAUAUUUUAGACAGCUUUAACAUACUUGCACAUACUUUGUUAACACUGAGUAAAAGGUGCUGGAUAUAGGUAGUCUGUGUUGAUAUUGAUCAUUCUAAACAGUAUAGAAUAGGAGUAUUCAGAAUUAUUUCAGCAUGACCUAACUUCAGAGUAACAUUUGUGUUGUAUUAAUAGCCAUGACAAUGAAUACUUUGUUUUGAGGGGAACUCAAAGUACUUGCAUUGUAAUCUUGUCCUCUAGUACCUUGUUGCUUAGUUCCAGUUUGCUACAGGGUACAGAGGAUAUAACACUCUCUAGCGGGUUCUAAGCUUCAUAUUUUGGUUCUACUCCAAAAAAAAAAUGUAACCACAGUAGAAGUGCCAGUGUGGUUACAAAAUCAAUUAGGUGUCUAAUGUAACUACCUGUGUAAUAGACCUUUGACACUAAACAUUUCACAGAAUAACAUUGUAAAUGUGCGAUGUGAUGUUUUUAAUCAGACCACAGUGGUCCCCAAAUAUUAUGUACAUAUGCUAAGUGUUGGAGUAACUUUUUGUUACACCAGCAGUUUCAUAGGAAAUAUGAUUUCUUGAUUGAAUUAAUGCUCCACUGUUUACCUGUGUGCGUGUAUUUGUAAAACACACAAGCUUUAUGCUCUGUAUGUACAGAAUGUAAAUGACAACACAUAACCACAUCACUCACACAAGUGGAUGCUAAUAAUUUUUUUCUGUGGUGUUAGAAGGUUAUAUAGUCUAAAUGUUUCAGCUAGACAUUGUUUAUUUCCUAAGCCAUACAUUUGCCAAAUGCUUAGAGUAUAUAUGCUGAUUAUGUUAUUUUUUUAUCAUGAUAAAAGUGUCACCUUUUAAUCUUAAUCAACAGAAUAAAUGUUUAAGGAAUGACAAGUUCCCAUUUCACCCGCUAUACUUUUGCUUUGUUAUCUAAUAAGUCAUCUGGACAGGAAAAUGUAUGGUUACUAUACAGCUCAUACUGGUAUGCUGCAUGAUCCCACUGAAUUGAGCCUAAUCCUCUUAUAAGAAAAAAAUUACUAGGCGAAUUUAACAAAAAAUAUAUUGUAGGUGCAUGUUAAAAGAAACAAACUACAUAGAACUGGAGUUUUACAAAGUUUUCUUUACUAUGCAAAGAUGUGGGUAUUGCACAAACAAAAUUUCAAGACCAAUGUCAGAGGAAUUUUACAAAUACUUGAAUUUAUUUUUGUUUUAAAACCUAUCAAUCAUGUUUUAUAUUCAUUGUUGCUUCCACUAUUACUCUUCCUUUUUAAAAUGAUUUGUAAUUAUUUUUAAGUGCACAAUUUGAUGUUAUGAAUCAGGUUUUGUUUGAAGUUAAUACUCAUUCAUAUCUUGUUGGCUGCUGACAAAUGGAAAUAAAAUAGUCAUUGUUCUGCAUCUCUUAGUAAAAUGAGUAUUAAAAACUUCAUGAACAUGGAAGUUGCAA